UUCUACUGAAGUGGCAUGGUACUUCUCUCUGUCUACAACCAGUGAAGUGAGUUUAAACAUUCAGUACUUGUUGUGAUGUAAUAGUUCAUUUUCCCAAAGAAAAUAUGUUACAACAGAUCUGGAAAAUAACAAAAGUUUCAAAAUACUGUCAGGUUUCCAGAUUACACUGUGUAGCCAUUUGUGUCAUUUGUUUUCAAGUGCUUCCUUUCCCUCCAGUCCUCAGGAGUACUCUGAGGACCCCUGAGAUUGGACACAUGCACCAAGCCACGCGCAUGUUCUUGGUUUGGCUUCAGAGCCGAGUAUUAUUUAUGUGAAUGGAAGGACCAUUCCCAGCAACAGUGUAGAGUGUGGUAGGGUUCCAGUUCCAACUGCAAUACAGGUAGGUUAAAAAAAACUAUUGAUUUACAAGACAAAAUGGCCUUUCUUAGAGCCUGAAUGCUAACAAUGGACUUUUCCUUGAAUGCUGCCCCGUGUAAAAGCCACAUGGUAGUUCCUGUUUCUCAAAGAAUAGCUUUCCUUCUUGUGAAACGCCAGGAAGAUAAUAAGCGUAGAGUUGUAUUUCCAGUCAAAAGUAUGCAGCUAUCAGGAUUAGGAAUUUUGUUGGAUUAAAUGGCACAGACGAGAUUAUACAUGGCUCGUGUGUUCUUGGCAAGUGGAACAUAAAGAUAUAUAGGGAGCUAAAAGAAAUGAGAACUAAAGUUUAUGGGAAAUCUGUAAAAGUGGAAGGGUCUGGGGGUGCCCUAUUCCAUCUCCUUCAUUUAAUGUGCGUUUAUUUAACCAAGCAUACACAGUGAUCAAGUGACUUACCAAGGUCAUUCACUGUUAAAAGUGGAUGGAACUGAGUCGUACUCUUGAAACCCCUGGAAGCUCAUGGGUGUUUCCGUCCGGACAUGAAGCAUGUUAUAGUGAGCUCCUGUGGAAGUUUGACAGUGUGUCUGUACCCCAGACCCAUGCCUACAGAUGGCAGACAUGGCCCCAUCCUGAAAACUAAGUAAAUACAGCACUUCUGCAAGUGGAGAUUUCAGUCCUGGAAGCCCUCAUUUGCAUGCCUACCACCUUAUCCCACAGACAGAAGGGUCAGCACUAGCAUACAGCACGGACCUGAAACCCAAACUACUGAAAUUUUUGAUUUUUAAUUUAAAAAAGAUUUGAUAACGCAGCCAUUUGAGUAAUAAUCUAAGCAAAACAUGUCCUUCUUUAAUUGAAUGAAUUUUUUUCUCUUAUGGAGGAAAGUUUGCAUUACUUGAUAUUUGCAUCAUCAUAACAAUUCCUUCCUUGAAGUUUCCUAGUUGACAGGGGACAACGGAUGAAUGGCUGAUGUUGUCUUCCAGAUUUUUGGAGAGGGGAGGAAUGAUGUCAAGAAUGGCCUCCCUCAUGAUACCCACAGAGACAGAUGGUGUUGCGAAAUGAUGGACCUUUGAGAGAAGGAAAGCGUGAGAAGUUCAGUAAUGUCCUCUUGGAACGAAUGGAGCUGGGAGAAGAGAGAAGAGUCGUGUCCAAGGUGCACCAGAGUGUCUUGGCUUUCCAUGCCUGCAAUACUCUCAUGGGCUUUUCAGCUGGAUCCACAUGCCUUAAGGACUGAUUCUGAGGCCAGAGUGCUGUUUAGGACAUCCGCCAUUCUAUGAGUCUGCUGUGUAUCCUGCUUCCCAUGUUGGAUCGUUCUCUCCCUUUUUUAUUCUAUCGGAUUACGCUGGAGUAAGAAAGGAGUAGGCGUUCUCAAGAGAUCUGGAUGCUCACUGGGAGUCCUUGGUUGUGGUGUGUCUGCAGCAGCCAGGACUGGGCCAGGCCGAAGCUGGAAGCCAGGAGCUGAAAACUCCAUCUCAUCUCCCACAUGGAUGGCAGGGACCAAAGCUCUUCAGUCAUCACCUGCUGUCUCCCAGGAAGCUGGAGUCAGGAGCAGAGCUGGGCCUGGAACCAGGCACUCUGAAGUGGGACGAGGUGUUCCACGUGGUGUCGCCCACUGAGCCGUGGGCCUGCUCCCUUUUUCUGUUUUGCCGUGUGAAGUUAUCGUGUCUCUAACUGGGUCAGUGAAGCUGAGUCUCACGCUGAACUCCAAUGCUGCAGUACAAGAAGGCUGUUCUUCAGAUGGGCUGUGCCUUACACCUCCCUGUCCAGCAUGUAACUCACGCAGCAAUUCUUGAAGACAAAUCCUUGGUCAUGACUGUAAUCCUACUCAUUACAAUACAUGGGAUGAAAUUUCUGGUUCCUUACCUAGAUUAUUUUCUCCUACAGGAAGAGCCUAAAGUAACAGAAAAUUAGAUCAAUUUUUUUUUUUAAAUGAGGGAGACACAUUUAAUUGUGUCUAUUCUUUUAAGUGAGUAGUCUCCGAACAUGGCCUGCCCUUAGUCCCUUCCCUCUCUAUUGUCAGCACUGCUCACCUUCAAGUCUACUCGGGCAACGCCGCCCCUCCCCUCCCCGCCACCAUGUUGGUCUGGC